CUGGAACGCGCCUCGGCGCACCCAGAAACCUUUGGUAAAUUUAUACUUUAUUGUUGCCUCGCGAAGGCCGCCUUUUUUUGAGGCCCCCCGGAAACGGGGAGCAGCCCGCCGGCGGCCAACCAAACUUUUGUUUCUUAGUGAAUCUCUGAGUAAAAAACAUAAAUGAAUCAAAACUUUCAACAACGGAUCUCUUGGUUCUGGCAUCGAUGAAGAACGCAGCGAAAUGCGAUAAGUAAUGUGAAUUGCAGAAUUCAGUGAAUCAUCGAAUCUUUGAACGCACAUUGCGCCCUCUGGUAUUCCGGAGGGCAUGCCUGUUCGAGCGUCAUUUCAACCCUCAAGCCUGGCUUGGUGUUGGGGCACUGCUUCGAGAGAAGCAGGCCCUGAAAUCUAGUGGCGAGCUCGCUAGGACCCCGAGCGUAGUAGUUAUAUCUCGUUCUGGAAGGCCCUGGCGGUGCCCUGCCGUUAAACCCCCAACUUCUGAAAUUUUGACCUCG
rnacentral:rRNA from 1 species